rnacentral:tRNA from 13 species
CGCUACCAGUGAGGAUUGAACUCUAUGACCCUGGUUUACAAGACCAGUUCUCUAACCACUGAGCUAUGGUGGC